GACGAACGCUGGCGGCGUGCUUAACACAUGCAAGUCGAACGAUGAAGCUAGAGCUUGCUCUGGUGAAUUAGUGGCGAACGGGUGAGUAACACGUGAGUAACCUGCCCCGAACUCUGGGAUAACUGCUGGAAACGGUAGCUAAUACUGGAUACGACCUACGAAGGCAUCUUCUGUAGGUGGAAAGAAUUUCGGUUCGGGAUGGACUCGCGGCCUAUCAGCUUGUUGGUGAGGUAAUGGCUCACCAAGGCGACGACGGGUCGCCGGCCUGAGAGGGUGACCGGCCACACUGGGACGUAGGCACGGACCAGACUCCUACAGGAGGCAGCAGGGGGGAAUAUUGCACAAUGGGCGCAAGCCUGAUGCAGCAACGCCGCGUGAAGGAUGACGGCCUUCGGGUUGUAAACCUCUUUUAGUAGGGAAGAAGCGAAAGUGACGGUACCUGCAGAAAAAACACCGGCUAACUACGUGCCAGCCGCCGCCGUAA
rnacentral:rRNA from 1 species